rnacentral:rRNA from 1 species
UUUUAGCAUGGGAUAAUGGAAUAGGACGUGUGGUUCUAUUUUGUUGGUUUCUAGGACCGCCGUAAUGAUUAAUAGGGACAGUCGGGGGCAUCAGUAUUCAAUUGUCAGAGGUGAAAUUCUUGGAUUUAUUGAAGACUAACUACUGCGAAAGCAUUUGUCAAGGAUGUUUUCAUUAAUCAGGAACGAAAGUUAGGGGAUCGAAGACGAUCAGAUACCGUCGUAGUCUUAACCAUAAACUAUGCCGACUAGGGAUCGGACGAUGUUAUUUUUUGACUCGUUCGGCACCUUACGAGAAAUCAAAGUGCUUGGGCUCCAGGGGGAGUAUGGUCGCAAGGCUGAAACUUAAAGAAAUUGACGGAAGGGCACCACCAGGGGUGGAGCCUGCGGCUUAAUUUGACUCAACACGGGGAAACUCACCAGGUCCAGACACAAUGAGGAUUGACAGAUUGAGAGCUCUUUCUUGAUUUUGUGGGUGGUGGUGCAUGGCCGUUCUUAGUUGGUGAAGUGAUUUGUCUGCUUAAUUGCGAUAACGAACGAGACCUUAACCUGCUAAAUAGCCCGUAUUGCUUUGGCAGUACGCUGGCUUCUUAGAGGGACUUUCGGCUCAAGCCGUAAGGAGAGGGUUGAGGCAAUAACAGGUCCUGUGCAUGCCCAUUUUNNNNCNU